CCUUAACUGUAUUUGUAACUAAUUAGUCGCUUCAAACAAACAGAUGAGAAGCUGUCAAAAUAUAUGGUGCGGUCGGUGUUUUUUGGACUUUCGAACCGAAUCUGUUUUUUUAGUAUAUUAUGAAAAUGUUCUGAAUUUAAUGUACAUUUGAAAGCAUUGUGGAAAGAAUUUUAUAUACAGUGAAGAUGGAAAAAGUUAUAAAGAGAAACUUUAUUCGAUUUGCUCAUCGAGUAGAACCUAUUCAGAGUGUGUUCCUUGAGGAGGGUUGUGAAGCUGAAAACGAUGUUCUUCAGUGUUUCUCUGAACUUCAAAUGGAAUUGGUAGAAGACAUGAUAAGUAGUGCUUGUGCUUUUUCCAAGCAACGUAAAAGUGAAAGUGUAGAUCCAGAAGAUCUUUUAUCUUAUUUAGUGUGAAAUCCUGUAGCCUUGGUGUCCUUCCCAUUGGUUGACUUCUAUGAACACUAAUACUACAAUGAAUAAUUAACAGUGAACUUUCUGAGGGACUUAAGAUGUAAUCUUAAGUUAUCAUUUCAUAUCAGUGUUAAGAGCUUCAUGAAAAUCUUUAAUAAACUAAAAAGAAAUGUAUUCAUUGAAAUGCUUGGCUGUUUCUUGUGCUGUAUCUGAAGUUUGUAGCUUAUAUAUUGUUGUAGCAUACUGUCAUUAGACUCUAAAUGAAGAUGUUAGUGCAUCUUCCAACUGUCAUUAGACUCUAAAUGAAGAUGUUAGUGCAUCUUCCAACUGUCAUUAGACUCUAAAUGAAGAUGUUAGUGCAUGUUCCAACUGUCAUUAGACUCUAAAUGAAGAUGUUAGUGCAUCUUCCAAUAAAGAUUCUAAACGUAAAUUAAAGCGAGCUUGUAUUAAACUUCUGUUAAGAAUCAGGGUUUCAAGAAUAAAACUGAUUUCUCUUUUCAACUGAUAAUUAAUGUACUCUUCUUCGUAGUUUAUGAAAGUAAUGUUCCUUAUAUAGAGGCAUUUGUACCCAAAAUCAAUGAAUGGAAUGAAAGUGUUUUAAAUUUAUAAGAUGAUGACUUGUGCAGAAAAAAAAAAGCCAGUAGGGGAAUUUCAAGGCUUUAGCAUUUGAAUAUUUACAUGUAACUUUAGUAAAAUGGGUAUUUGUGUAAGAAUGUAUGCAUAAGAGAGAAAGAAAUUUAUUAAUUCACAUACAAGUCCUAAACAUGCAUACAAACAAAAUCAUUGGCAGUUAGAUCUCGCUUCCUGAAGGAAACCAUUACUGGAAGAAGCUAACACAACUUGCUACUGCAAUGCUUGAUAACACAAUCACCUGUGAUCAAACUGGAAAUCAAAUCUAACACUUAGAAUUGUCAUGAAAUAGUUUGUAAAUUGGAUAGGAAUUACAGUAAUGUCAGAUAAAUAUUAUGGUACAUUCUUCUUCUAUCCAUAUAAGAUCAGUCUUAUGCAGACAUUAGCAACUGAAGAUCAUGAUAUGUGCUUAACUUUUGCAAUAACAUUUCUCAUUUGAACAUGAUUAAUAAUCACUCACUGAAAAAUAUGAAGAGAGGUUUGAUUCUUCUGAAUGGAUUGAUUAGUGCUCACAAUUGUAAAAUUUGUUCUUUAAACAUCCCUAAAUAAGCCAAUAAGAGCUGCUGCUUUUUUCCAAAGUAACUGUGGAAAGUAGUUUUAACGCAUAUUACUAAAGAGUGUAUUAUUUUUCUUUGCCACUUUAGAAAAUAUAACUUGCUGCAUUGCUAUCUAGAAGUGCUGAAAAAAUUUAUUUCCUAAAAUACAUCAAAGGUCAUUCUUGAAUUGAACAAUUUAAUGCAGGAUGGAGCAAGCAAUCAUAUCUACACUAACAUUUCACUGAUGAAAGUUAAAUGCCUUUUCUUUCCAUUACGGAAAGAAUUUCAUUCAGCAAAAACUUUAUAUGACUUUAGUUUGUGGUUGAUAGGUGAAAUCAGCUGUGUUUUGGUAGCAUUGCCAAAUUAACAAUCAUAAAACCUAACAUCAGACAGGAUUCUGAGUUUAGCGUGUUGCAGACAAUUACUGGGAUUCGUUACGCUAUGGUACCAAGCAUGUUCACUACCAGUUUGUAAUUUAUAUGGGCAAUAAAUACUGGCAUUCAUAUAAGUUGUUAUUCAUUUCUGUUAUUUACAAAGUACUUUUCUUUUAAUAAUUAUCUGUGGCUUCAUAUGUGUUACAGUUGUAAAUCAUGCUGUAACUUCUAAACUGGACAGUGAUUCACUGGUAUUCUUACCAUGUUUCAGUAAUAUACAAUUGUUCUUUGUUUGACGAGUAUCUCUCAUAACGAGCAAAACAAAAAAAUAUGACUGUUUUAAUGAUCCAUGUUUUAAAGAAAGUGUGACAAGAAAACAUCGUGACAUCACAUGCAGGCUUGACCUAUAUCUUGGAUUUCAAUCAGUAUUAAGCACUUAUUUGCAAGGAAUACUUAUUUCCACAUGGAAUAAGCUUUGAUUGGUUAGUAUUGUCGAACACAUCUCUGAGGAAUUUCAGGAAGUGUAUGCAGUUUUUGCCUAAGAUUAUGGAGCUAGAGUUGGAUAGCAACAAUUCAUGAGCUGUAGGAAGAGCAUAGCAAAAACUGUUGAAGAACUAAUGGAGCUAUAUUCUGUGUCACAACAACAAGUUGCAGGUGAGAUUUAGUCAGAAAGAAGGUGAUUACAGCCACAGCCGAUCAAGAACGUUCCAUUGAAACAUAGAAGAUGCUGAAAACGUGGGAAAAUGUUGCACCUAGUGCUGAAAGGCAUCAUCCUACUUAUGCAGGUGUAUAUUGGAAUCUAGAACCAUUACUUGUAUCUGAUGGUUUUUACCGAGUUGAAGAAAGAACUGAUGCUCUCUCUAUACCAACAGAGCCUCACCCAAAACAAACUAAAUUGAAAACAGAGCGCCCAACUACGUCAAACAUUAAAAAAAAUCCUGUUAGGAAAACCAGGUCUGACCAGACAUUUAAAAACAAAAGUAGUAAGUUAAAAUCAAAGAUUAACACAAAAUAUCAAGAUUCAUGUUCAGAACAUCGACCACCUUUGAACAAAAAACCUGAAGUUGAUGUAAAAGUUGAAAAACAAAUCGAAAUGUUUCAUUCAUAUUCAAAAGUUCGUAAAACACCUGGAAGAAAAAGUAAACAAGAGGUAUCCAACUCGGUUGAAACACCAGCAGAAGCACGAAAAAGGCUUGCCAUCAUUUUGCUAAGAAUAGCUGGGAAGCACUGAAAGGCACACGUUAUUUCCAUGGCUGUGCAAGACGCUGUUUUGAAUUUGAAAGGACUUCAGCGAUUACCUUGUAUUCCAAGCAUUGUCUUCUCAUCAGAUUAUCCUUACUGCAAAAGCAAGUAGAAGUGCAUAUCAUCUUAGCUGCUCAUACUUAAUUUUUUUUCAUGAAUACCUUGUAGUAAGUUCUAUGGUUUUGCAUGUAUAUGUUAAUUGGCAGGAUUGAAUUGCCUGUAUACCUGUUUAUUAAAUGUUUUUAAUAUA